rnacentral:tRNA from 1 species
UGGCUCAGACGGUAAAGCGUCUGCCUGCAAUGCAGGAGACCCGGGUUCGAUUCCUGG